CGAAAGCCUGACGGAGCAACGCCGCGUGGGGGAAGAAGGUUUUUGGAUUGUAAACCCCUUUUCUCAAGGAAGAACAAAAUGACGGUACUUGAGGAAUCAGCCUCGGCUAACUCCGUGCCAGCAGCCGCGGUAAUACGGAGGAGGCAAGCGUUAUCCGGAAUUAUUGGGCGUAAAGCGUUCGUAGGCGGCUGUUCAAGUCUGCUGUCAAAGACCGAGGCUCAACCUCGGGUCGGCAGUGGAAACUGGAUAGCUAGAGGUCGGUAGGGGCAGAGGGAAUUCCCAGUGUAGCGGUGAAAUGCGUAGAUAUUGGGAAGAACACCGGU
rnacentral:rRNA from 1 species